rnacentral:pre_miRNA from 1 species
AUCACCUGUGGAUUUCGUUAAAAUGCAGAGUCUGAUUCAGUAGGUCUGGGCUGGGGCCUGAGAUUCUGCAUUUCUAGCAAACUUCCAGGUGAUGCUGA